AUUUCAAGCGUCAAAAUAGACGGUGAGACAAUUAACUAUAGGAAAUAAUGAGAAAUUGAGAACCAUUUUGGAAUUAUAUGAUUUGUUUGCUUGCUUCUUAGCAAAAUGUAAUAACAAUUUUUUUUCAUAUAUUCGUUUUUCCCUAUGGUCGUUCUCCGAUAAUAAUUGAAAAGAAACCUUUUGAAUCGAUGUGAGACUAAAGUAGGUAGUUUUAAUUAAUUGCUGCGCUUUAAUAAAUCUAUUAAGUUGGCAACUAGGUUUGUUUGUAUAUUUUUUUAAAUGAUUUUUUUUUUUUUGGAAUUUAUUAGAUGAGAUCAUGAUCAGGUUCUAUUUGUGAUGGAGUUAAUGAUUUUGUAUUUGAAUUGGGCCUUUUGAUGUGUUUGAUUUCAUGGGUAUUUGAUUUUGAACCACUUCUCUUUAUUAGAUUGUCUGUUUUAUACUACAACGCUGGAAUGGAUGUUAGCUAAGAUGGGUGAUUUGUGGUCAUCCUUAAUUUUGUAAAAUGGAUGAAAUGGCUAAUUCUUUGUUUGGUAAGAUUACUUAUUUUUAUCCCCUGCUUUGCGUUUCUUGAUUCAUGAUGAAUAGUAUUGUAUGUGUUGCCUGGUUGUAUUUUGUUGAUCUCCCAUGUAUGAGAAAUAUACAUGGAGUACUUAAUUCUUUAUGAACUCUUCCCUGCACAAAAAAUAAGGAAGGGGAAACACUUAUGGAAUUCUUUUAAAUAUGUUAGGACAAAAGAAAAAUUCAAGUAGGUUAAAAGGUUAAUAUCAUGGUUUGAUUUUAUAAGACAAAUACUGAUUUCACUUUGAGUUUGAGGUCUUCGGCUUUAUCAGAUUCCAACUCCAAUAUUUGGUCUUCAGUCAGCAGAAUCAGGAAAUGGUUAAAAGGUAUGGAGCGUAUUGAUGUGAAGAGAAUAUCAUGUUGCAGUGCGUAGAUAGAUUGAAGCAUUUAUUUGUUUUAGUGCUACAAUGAUGUGAUAAUGAUUUGUACAAGCAAUCAAGAGGUCUUAUUGAUCCUAAACUUCUUGCAAGAGUGACCGUUUUUAGUGUAAGUGAAAUAAAAGCACUUUAUGAGCUUUUCAAGAAGAUAAGCAAUGCUAUUAUAGAUAAUGGGCUAAUCGAUAAGAUAUUUGACUUGUUUGAUACAAAGCAUAAUGGAAUUCUACUUUUGGAAGAGUUUGCUUGUGCUCUUUCUGUCUUCCAUCCAAAUGUGCCCAUUGACGAUAAGAAUGAUUGUAUGUGUUAAAUAUUUUAGUUAUCUGUAUAUUUUGUCUCUCUGUUUACCUCUCUUGUUGUAAGUCAUAAUCAUGAUAACAUAGUAGUUGGAUGUAAAUGACUGGUAUGAAAAUGGAAUAUGGACUUUUGUGCAUAGACGAUGUGUCUAAACUAUGUAUUCUUGUGUAUACAUAUUAUUGUGUAAUCUAUUUUCUUAUAUUAGGGAAUUUCUUUUUGUAA